GCAUUGGCUUCGGCAGCACAUAUACUAAAAUUGGAACAAUAUAGAGAAGAUUAGCAUGUGCCCUGUGCAAGGAUGACAUGGAAAUUCGGGAAGCUUUCCACAUUUUU
ensembl:snRNA U6 U6 spliceosomal RNA